rnacentral:rRNA from 1 species
GACGAACGCUGGCGGCGUGCUUAACACAUGCAAGUCGAACGGAAAGGCCCUGCUUGCAGGGUACUCGAGUGGCGAACGGGUGAGUAACACGUGGGUGAUCUGCCCUGCACUUCGGGAUAAGCCUGGGAAACUGGGUCUAAUACCGGAUAGGAGCCAUUUUGAGUGUGAUGGUUGGAAAGUUUUUUCGGUGUAGGAUGAGCUCGCGGCCUAUCAGCUUGUUGGUGGGGUAAUGGCCUACCAAGGCGGCGACGGGUAGCCGGCCUGAGAGGGUGGCCGGCCACCUUGGGACCUAGGGGAGGCCCAGACGCCGACGGGUGGCAGAUGGGGGGAACAUUGCACAAGGGGCGCAAGCCUGAUGCAGAGAGGCCGCGUGGGGGAUGACGGCCUUCGGGUGGAAGACACCUUUUGCUAGGGACGAAGCGGUUUGUGACGGUACCUAGAGAAGAAGCACCGGCUAACUACGUG